rnacentral:rRNA from 1 species
AUUGAACGCUGGCGGCAUGCCUUACACAUGCAAGUCGAACGGCAGCACGGGAGCUUGCUCCUGGUGGCGAGUGGCGAACGGGUGAGUAAUGCAUCGGAACGUGCCCUGAAGUGGGGGGGUAACGUAGCGAAAGUUACGCUAAUACCGCAUAUUCUGUGAGCAGGAAAGCAGGGGAUCUUCGGACCUUGCGCUUUUGGAGCGGCCGAUGUCGGAUUAGCUAGUUGGUGGGGUAAAGGCCCACCAAGGCGACGAUCCGUAGCGGGUCUGAGAGGAUGAUCCGCCACACUGGAACUGAGACACGGUCCAGACUCCUACGGGAGGCAGCAGUGGGGAAUUUUGGACAAUGGGCGCAAGCCUGAUCCAGCCAUGCCGCGUGAGUGAAGAA